rnacentral:rRNA from 1 species
UUUAAAUUGCUGUGGUAUUCUGACUAUACGAAGGUAUUGAAAUAAGGCUUUAAUUGGGUGCUAAGAGAAUGGUUAGACAAGGAUUAACUUUCUUUUAAUUUAAAUUAAAAGUUAAUUUAAAAAUGAAAAAGUUUUUAUAAAUUUUUGGGACGAGAAGACCCUAUGAAUUUUUUUUAAGUUUUUUUAUUUAAUUUUUAAUGAAUAAGAUUAUAUAAAAAUUUAAUUUAAUUGGGGUGAUUUUUAAAAAUAUUUAACUUUAAAAAUAGGAAAUAAUUUGAACCAUAAGUUUUGAUUGUUUGGAAAAAUACUCUAGGGAUAACAGCGUUAUUAUUUUGGAUAGUUCAUAUAGUUAAAAUAGUUUGCGACCUCGAUGUUGGAUUAAGAUACUUAUGUAAUGUAGUAGUUAUAUUAAGGAGAUGCUCGACCUGACC